rnacentral:ncRNA from 12 species
UUUUUCCGGGUCUGUGGUUGAAAGUCGAUGCCAGCCGCAGGCGAAACGACCCACGUAAACCGGCAAAAAUACCGGUGAGCAUGGUGCGGUUUAGAGGUAAGUCCUGCCCGGGGUUAAACCGGAGACGGGGAGUAGUGAAGGCUUAAACCGUAGCGAGACCCGCAGCAGGCGAGUGUGGGGGAAAAGACCAGGUCAGCCGGAUAAC